GACGAACGCUGGCGGCGUGCUUAACACAUGCAAGUGGAGCGACGAAGGGCCUUCGGGCCUGGCAGAGCCGCGAACGGGUGAGUAACACGUGGGUAACCUGCCCUGUUGAUUGGGACAACCCGAGGAAACUCGGGCUAAUACCAAAUGUGCUCUUGACUCAUGAGGGUCUUGAGGAAAGGAAGCUUCGGCCUCCGCAAUAGGAUGGGCCCGCGGCGCAUUAGCUUGUUGGUGGGGAAUGGCCUACCAAGGCUGCGAUGCGUAGCUGGUCUGAGAGGACGAUCAGCCACACUGGGACUGAGACACGGCCCAGACUCCUACGGGAGGCAGCAGUGGGAAUCUUGCGCAAUGCGCGAAAGCGUGACGCAGCAACGCCGCGUGUGGGAAGACGGCCU
rnacentral:rRNA from 1 species